AUAUUUUGUGUUUUUAUCUCAUACCAGCUAUAGAAAUUCUGUCAGAUCCUGUGAAGCGAAGAGCAUUUGACAGUGUAGAUCCUACCUUUGACAACGCUGUGCCCUCAAAGGGCGAAGGCAAAGAUAACUUCUUUGAGGCGUAUGCUCCUGUUUUUGAGAGAAAUGCCCGGUGGUCUUCCAAAAAACACGUGCCCAAACUUGGCACUAUGGAUUCCUCUUUUGAGGACGUGGAUAAUUUUUAUUCUGUUUGGUACAACUUUGACUCAUGGAGAGAGUUUUCUUAUUUGGAUGAAGAGGAAAAGGACAAGGCAGAAUGUCGUGAUGAGAGGAGAUGGAUUGAAAA